CCUUUCGGGGUGGAUCNNNGGCGAACGGGUGAGUAACACGUGGGCAAUCUGCCCUGCACUCUGGGACAAGCCCUGGAAACGGGGUCUAAUACCGGAUAUUACCUGAGGGGGCAUCUUCUCGGGUGGAAAGCUCCGGCGGUGCNCGAUGAGCCCGCGGCCUAUCNNNUUGUUGGUGGGGUGAUGGCCUACCAAGGCGANNNNNNGUAGCCGGCCUGAGAGGGCGACCGGCCACACUGGGACUGAGACACGGCCCNNNCUCCUACGGGAGGCAGCAGUGGGGAAUAUUGCACAAUGGGCGAAAGCCUGAUGCAGCGANNNCGCGUGAGGGAUGACGGCCUUCGGGUUGUAAACCUCUUUCAGCAGNGAAGAAGCGCAAGUGACGGUACCUGCAGAAGAAGCACCGGCUAACUA
rnacentral:rRNA from 1 species